AUACUUAACUGGCAGAGGUGAAUCAGGAAAGUGGUUUCUCCAAGGCAAGACUUAUCCAUUGCACUCUGGAUGGUCUGAUCCCUGUGAUUUCCCCAAUGUAUACAACUUUACUGUACAAUUUAUGGUAGUAGGGGACUGGGUUCAUGCUCUUCUCUUA